rnacentral:rRNA from 1 species
UACGUAGGGUGCAAGCGUUGUCCGGAAUUAUUGGGCGUACAGAGCUCGUAGGCGGUUUGUCGCGUCUGCUGUGAAAACCCGAGGCUCAACCUCGGGCCUGCAGUGGGUACGGGCAGACUAGAGUGCGGUAGGGGAGAUUGGAAUUCCUGGUGUAGCGGUGGAAUGCGCAGAUAUCAGGAGGAACACCAAUGGCGAAGGCAGAUCUCUGGGCCGUAACUGACGCUGAGGAGCGAAAGCAUGGGGAGCGAACAGG